rnacentral:rRNA from 1 species
UGAAACAGCCAUUUCACCCUGCAGCACAAGACUGGUUGCUCACUGAAGCUAGGAAGGGCUGAGCCUGGCUAGUACCUGGAUGGGAGAAAACAUGGGAAAUCUAGUCAUGUGUAAA